rnacentral:rRNA from 1 species
UACGGAGGGUGCGAGCGUUGUCCGGAAUCACUGGGCGUAAAGGGCGCGUAGGCGGCAGGCCAAGAGUGCGGUGAAAGUCCGGGGCUCAACCCCGGAUCUGCCGUGCGGACUGGUUUGCUAGAGCACUGUAGAGGCGAGUGGAAUUCCGGGUGUAGCGGUGGAAUGCGUAGAGAUCCGGAAGAACACCGGUGGCGAAGGCGGCUCGCUGGGCAGUGGCUGACGCUGAGGCGCGACAGCGUGGGGAGCAAACAGG